CGUUCCAUGGUGUAAUGGUUAGCACUCUGGACUCUGAAUCCAGUGAUCUGCGUCCAAAUCUCAGUGGAGCCU